CCUACGGGAGGCAGCAGUGGGGAAUAUUCGACAAUGGGGGGAACCCUGAUCCAGCCAUGCCGCGUGUGUGAAGAAGGCCCUCGGGUUGUAAAGCACUUUCAGUGAGGAAGAACGCCUGGUGGUUAAUACCCAUCAGGAAAGACAUCACUCACAGAAGAAGCACCGGCUAACUCCGUGCCAGCAGCCGCGGUAAUACGGAGGGUGCGAGCGUUAAUCGGAAUUACUGGGCGUAAAGCGCGCGUAGGUGGCUUGAUAAGCCGGUUGUGAAAGCCCCGGGCUCAACCUGGGAACGGCAUCCGGAACUGUCAAGCUAGAGUGCAGGAGAGGAAGGUAGAAUUCCCGGUGUAGCGGUGAAAUGCGUAGAGAUCGGGAGGAAUACCAGUGGCGAAGGCGGCCUUCUGGCCUGACACUGACACUGAGGUGCGAAAGCGUGGGUAGCAAACAGGAUUAGAUACCCCGGUAGUC
rnacentral:rRNA from 1 species